rnacentral:rRNA from 1 species
UCGACAACCUGGUUGAUCCUGCCAGUAGUGUAUGCUUUUCCCAAAGACUAAGCCAUGCAUGUCCGACUAAGAGGAAGCAAUUCUCUCUGAAUCUGCGAACGGCUCCGCAAACCAGUUGUAAACCCAAGCACAGUCCCGCCCGGCUUCAGCAAUGGAGCCGGGCACUAUAUGGAUAACCGUGGUAAUUCUGAGGCUAAUACAUGACAAAAACCUGCCAAGCCGGGGCAACCUGGCGAAGCGGGGGACGCGCGGCAAAAUUGCUGGAAAACCACACGAAAGAACGCACGUUCAGACCGCUGCAACGGGGAAGGGGCCUCACGGCUUCAUCCCUAGCGGCCUAUGCAUCGGGCUUCUGACCUAUCAACUAGACGGCAGCAUAAGGGACAUGCUAUGGUGACAACGGGUACAGAGGAUUAGGGUUCGAUCCUGGAGAGUGGGCCUGAGAGAUUGCUCAUACUUCUAAGGAAGGCAGCAGGCGCGCAACGUUCCCCAUGGGCAAUUGCUCGAGGGCGUUAGGGGAAAUAUGAAUGCCUGCCUAUACGGUGGGCAAUUCAAAUGGGUUUGUCGUAAACAGGCUCUCGAGUAACAAUUAGAGGACAAGUCUGGUGCCAGCACCCGCGGUAAUUCCAGCUCUAAUAGCAUACGUUAAAGUUGUUGCGGUUAAAACGCUCGUAGUCGGCUCCAGAUCGUCAGAAGCCUGACCCAGGACCUCGGGCCUGUACCCCUCACGGGGUGCGCCUUGGAACAGGGGAGGGUGGGCGGCGGUCAAGCGUGCCCGGUGGCGUGCCUUGGUUCACUCCUCGGCUUACAGGGAGUUCCCAUCAGCCAAACUGAAGCCGUCGGCGCAAGCCGGUGGCCGAAAUGCGGCCGGGUUCUCCUGGCUCCGGGUACCAUUUACCAUGAUUAAACCGGCGUGAUCAAAGCAGGACACUGCGUUCACUGCACGGCUUAGCAUGGCAUAAGGCCAACGAAGCCGCCCCUUCCAGCAGGGGGCGGAUUCAGAAGCCAGCGAAAGGGGUGUUCGGGGGCAGCCGAAUUGCCGGGCGAGUGGUGAAAUACGUUGACCCUGGCAAGUCGACCAAAAGCGAAAGCAGCUGUCAAGGGCACGCCCGUUGAUCAAGAGCGAAAGUUAAGGGUUCGAAGACGAUCAGAUACCGUCGUAGUCUUAACUAUAAAUGAUACUGGCCAGGGAUAGGGCAAUGUCCAUCUCGACUCCCCCCGCACCUUAGGGAAACCAAAGCCUAUGAGUUCUGGGGGGAGUAUGGUCGCAAGGCUGAAACUUAAAGGAAUUGACGGAAAGGCACACAAAGAGUGGAACCUGCGGCUUAAUUUGACUCAACACGGGAAAACUCACCGGGUCCAGAUACAUGCAUGAAAGACAAGCUGAUAGACUUUUCUCAAUUAUGUAAGUGGUGGUGCAUGGCCGUUCUUAGUUCGUGGAGUGGUUCGUCUGGUCUAUUCCGAUAACGAGCGAGACCCCAACGGUCUAAAUAGGGGCAGCGGCUGGGAUUCCCCGGCCUUCACGGGUGAAGGGGUCCUAACAGUCGCAUGCCUGUAAAAACGAGCUUCUUAGACGGAUCGGGGCCGACAAGGUCCCUGAAAUGGGUUAAUAACAGGUCAGUCAUGCCCUUAGAUGUUCCGGGCCGCACGCGCGUUACAAUGGGAGGCAUAAAGAGUGUUCUUCGGAGCCGCCCCAUGCCCUACAGGGCACGGUAAACAUUAGGGCCUCCCUUGACUGGGAUCGGCUAUUGCAAUUAUUGGUCGUAAACGAGGAAUUUUUAGUAGGCGCGGGUCAUUAGCCCGUGCCGAAUGCGUCCCUGCCUUUUGUACACACCGCCCGUCGCUGCUACCGAUUGGGCAUCGCGGUUACGCGUUCGGAGGGCCCUGCAACUGCCGGCUUCGGUCGGUGGGAACUAGGCUCGAAGUUCUAAGUACCGCACGGCCUAGAGGAAGCAGAAGUCGUAACAAGGUAAUCGUAGGUGAACCUGCAGAAGGAUCAAGCUUGGAUCCCGGG